CCCCCCCCCUUCCCUCACAUCCGGACCGCUUCGCACAUAGGAGCCUUUUAUUUAGCUCCCGUUUUUAAGCAGGUUGGGACAAGGCCAUCCUUAGGCAUACGCAGAGUACACAGUUGCGUAGGGCACCUCUUUCUGGAGCACCACUCUGCUGGGCCGAAGGACUUCGGCGAGGAGGUCGGCAAGCUGACCCUGGCUGGAGAAGGUUUAUCCCAGAUGACUUCUCACAGGGAGCAAAACCAUGGGGACUGUUUCACCAAUGGGGAUUGCUUGACACCACUUCAUAAGAUCUUUCUGGAAGAAAGGUUGGAAGAAAUUAUAAAAGAAGUGGCAUCAUCUCUUGGCCUUUCCCGCUCCCAACUCACCAGCAGGAGGACACAAGUCUGGAGGAUCAAGCACUUUGAACUGGGGGAGAGUGGUCCCUAGCCAGGAAACAGUCUGAGCCUCUGGAUCAAAUAUUUGUGACCUGUUUGUAUCACCUGUCAGGGUGAGACAGCUUGAUUCACAUCCUCUUUGCAGAAUUCAGACUGUAAAAUUCAUUUUUCUUAGCCAAUUGAGAUCUGUUUGCUACUUUUCAAUCAUUUGAAAUCUCUCUCUCUGUAGUUAAUAAAUCUGUAUUAUAUUUUACCUAAGAAAGUGUGUUUUGGUUGAAAUGCUUGGGAAAUCUUAGCUCAUCUUACAGAGGCCAGUAUGGGUAUGUCUACACAGCAGGGUUAAAGUUGAAUUAAGCUAUGCAAUUGACAUA